rfam:Morus notabilis contig45034, whole genome shotgun sequence.
AUUGGGCAUGUGAUGAAUCCCGUUUGUAUAAAAGGGUUAUUUGAGUCUGAAACUAUUAUUGAUGCUCUAUCACCUUGGAGACCUGAUGCCCUUU